AAGCUGCUACUACCUGCUAGGGGUUUUAUUAGUUGCUCAACCUUCGCUGGCCGGCCUUAUAUAUACCUAGCUAUAGCUGUCUUGCUUGCAUAGAUCAUCGAUCCAUGUUGCUAGCUAGCUAGCUCCCUCAGUUCAGUUCAGUUCAGUUCAGCUCAGCUAGCUAGCUCACUCCUCUCUUGAGUCGUGGUGUCCAUCACAAUCUUCUCUAUAUCGAUACAGGUGAGGAGGUAGCUAGACAGAUCAACACCAAUCCUCUCAACGACAUCCCCUUGUUCUUGUAGAGAGAGUUGGUGUAGGUCGAAAGGCAGAUAGAUCAUAUAUAGAGGGAGAGAUGCAUAUAUGGUGUAGGGUUCUUCAAUUUGUUUCUAUGAUCGAUUCAUUCGCCCUGCAGCCCCCCCUGCGCAUCUAGUUAUGUCUCCAUCCCUCCUCCCUUGUUCCUGAUACAUAUAUAUAUAUGUAGGUAGUGGCUCUGUAUAUACCCAUGCCAUCUCUCUCAAUCUCAUCUAUAUCAUAUAUACCCAUGCUUUGCAUCUAGCUGUUUCAUUUCUUUUCACUCGUGCUUUGAAAGAUCUGGUACAGUCCGGCCUGUAUUAGUAAGAACGAGUUAGAAAAAUACACACGUACGCGCGAGAACCAUGCAUCAUCAGCUAGCUCCUCUCUUUCCUCUUUUUUUUUGUUAAUGCAUACAUUCAUAUAUAUAUUCCCAUGAAUGAAUGC
rnacentral:precursor_RNA from 1 species